ACUCAAAUGAAUAGACGGGGGCCCGCACAAGCGGUGGAGUAUGUGGCUUAAUUCGAUGCAACGCGAAAAACCUUACCUGGAUUUGACAUGCAUCUCUAAGUCGGUGAAAGCCGGCGAAGGUAGCAAUACCUAAUUUGCACAGGUGCUGCAUGGCUGUCGUCAGCUCGUGUCGUGAGAUGUUGGGUUAAGUCCCGCAACGAGCGCAACCCUUGUAUGCUGUUGCCAAAUGAAUAAUUUGGCUCUCUGCGUAGACUGCCCCGUGAAACGGGGAGGAAGGUGAGGAUGACGUCAAGUCAGCAUGGCCCUUACAUCCAGGGCUGCACACGUACUACAAUGCUCAGCACAAUUAGAACCGACACCGCGAGGUUUAGGAAAUCGCAAAAGCUGAGCCCAGUUCAGAUUGCAGGCUGCAACUCGCCUGCAUGAAGUCGGAAUCGCUAGUAAUGGCGCAUCAGCUACGGCGCCGUGAAUACGUUCCCGGGCCUUGCACACACCGCCCGU
rnacentral:rRNA from 1 species